rnacentral:misc_RNA from 1 species
CAGUGGGUGGUUUUCAUCAGCAGACAUCUGCAGCUGGUGGUUCUCGUCAGCAGACGUCUGCAGCAGGUGGUUCUCAUCAGCAGACGACUGCGGUGGGUGGUUCCCAUGAGUGGACGUCAGCGACGGGUGGUUAUCAUCACUGGACUUCUCCCUUUGAAGAGAGAGACCUUUUUAGCUUACCAAGGCAGUUUGUUUCUUCUCCCUCUCUGUAGAAAAUAGGGGUAGAGGAUUUGGGUGAAUAAUAAACAAAGUAAUGUGAAAAAGAGAAUAGCAGAAUGUUGUUUAUGUAUGUUGGCUCUUAUGAUGCAUUUACC